rnacentral:rRNA from 1 species
UACGGGGGGUGCAAGCGUUAAUCAGAAUUACUGGGCGUAAAGCGUUCGUAGGUUGUUAAAUAAGUCGGAUGUGAAAUCCCUAGGCUCAACCUAGGAAUUGCAUUCGAUACUGUUUAGCUAGAGUUUAGUAGAGGAUUGGGGAAUUUCCGGUGUAGCGGUGAAAUGCGUAGAGAUCGGAAAGAACAUCAAUGGCGAAGGCAACAGUCUGGACUUGAACUGACACUGAAGGACGAAAGCGUGGGUAGCAAACAGG